UACGGAGGGGGCCAGCGUUGUUCGGAAUCAUUGGGCGUAAAGGGCGCGUAGGCGGCUUUGUAAGUCCGUUGUGAAAUCCCUCGGCUCAACCGAGGAACUGCGACGGAUACUGCUUGGCUUGAGUCCCGGAGAGGGUAGCGGAAUUCCCAGUGUAGCGGUGAAAUGCGCAGAUAUCAGGAAGAACACCAAUGGCGAAAGCAGCUCUCUGGGACGGUACUGACGCUGAGACGCGAAAGCGUGGGGAGCGAACAGG
rnacentral:rRNA from 1 species